CAUGCAAGUCGAGCGGAAACGACACYAWCRAHYCUUCGGRUGMKUUAAUGGGCGUCGAGCGGCGGACGGGUGAGUAAUGCCUAGGAAAUUGCCUUGAUGUGGGGGAUAACCAUUGGAAACGAUGGCUAAUACCGCAUAAUGCCUACGGGCCAAAGAGGGGGAUCUUCGGACCUCUCGCGUCAAGAUAUGCCUAGGUGGGAUUAGCUAGUUGGUGAGGUAAUGGCUCACCAAGGCGACGAUCCCUAGCUGGUCUGAGAGGAUGAUCAGCCACACUGGAACUGAGACACGGUCCAGACUCCUACGGGAGGCAGCAGUGGGGAAUAUUGCACAAUGGGCGAAAGCCUGAUGCAGCCAUGCCGCGUGUAUGAAGAAGGCCUUCGGGUUGUAAAGUACUUUCAGUUGUGAGGAAGGGUGUGUAGUUAAUAGCUGCGCAUCUUGACGU
rnacentral:rRNA from 1 species